GUGCCAGCAGCCGCGGUAAUUCCAGCUCCAAUAGCGUAUAUUAAAGUUGUUGCAGUUAAAAAGCUCGUAGUUGAACUUCGGGACCUGUGGGUUGGUCGUGCCUCCGGUACGUACUGGCUCUACCGGUUCCUCCCUUCUGAAGAACCACGAUGUCAUUAAUUUGGUGUCGUGGGGAAUCAGGACUGUUACUUUGAAAAAAUUAGAGUGUUUAAAGCAGGCUAAAGCUUGAAUAGAUUAGCAUGGAAUAACGAAAUAGGACGUUUGAUCUUAUUUUGUUGGUUUCUAAGAUCGACGUAAUGAUUAAUAGGGAUAGUUGGGGGCAUUAGUAUUCAAUUGUCAGAGGUGAAAUUCUUGGAUUUAUUGAAGACUAACUACUGCGAAAGCAUUUGCCAAGGAUGUUUUCAUUAAUCAAGAACGAAAGUUAGGGGAUCGAAGACGAUCAGAUACCGUCGUAGUCUUAACCAUAAACKRRGCCGASUAGGGAUCGGAUGAUGUUAAUUUUUUAAUGACUCRUUCGGCGCCUUACGGGAAAC
rnacentral:rRNA from 1 species